GCAGGAAUGAAACACUGAAAGCUUUAUUUUGUGCUUCAGGUCACAGGACCUGUACAUCCUGCACUGAACUGCUGGCAUGGUGGAAGCAGUUGUACUGGGCACUUUUGCAUAUGGAAUGCUUUAUCAUAAGCCCAGGAAGUCUAUCUGUACACACAGAGCUUUCAAAUACAUCAAAAUGACUAACCAUGCCUGAGAUGUAUUUCUUAGCAUUUUCAAAGUCAACAACAUCAUUGAGGAAGAUGAUAAAAUCUUACAUCCAGUGGGCUAGUUUUUGGUUCCAAAGAAAGAGCUGAUCCACUGCAGUAAUGCCAUGGAAAUGCCAAUGAAAAUGCUGGUGAAACUUAACUUAAUUUAUCCUAGUGUACCCCAGAUGAAGGCUUCAUGGAAAAGUAGCACCCCUGUGUGAAGACAUCUCAUAUACUAGAUCUCAGAUACUACACCAAUUUUGAGCUGCUUACACAGUCCUCAGAAGACAAAAUGCAUCAUGUCAUAGCAUCACAACAUGUUGAGUUCUAAGCCCUGCACUCUGUUGGCAUGGUCUGCAUCUUCUUAAGGAGAUGCCUAGAUCUUGAGUCACACUACGCUCUUCAUUCCUCAGAGCCAAUUUUGAUGAGCCAGAGCCUGUCUUUGGGACUUCUCAGGUUUAGCAACUGUGAAUCUCUUUGAUAAACUAAUUCACAAACUUUCAAGACUUCUGUACAUAUUUUACUGCUUUUCAUCAAAAUCCUCAGGCUCUUAUUUAGUUUAUGACUAAAUUGUGCAACAGCGACAGUGAUCAGUGAUUUGGCUAUGAAUGAAAUUGUUAAAACCGAGUUAAGACCUUUAAUAGCUGGCCCAGAAUACAGGAACUGCAAAGAGUAUUUUAUCUAUCCAGACAUAUGUCUUAAUUUUUCAGUCAGCUGUUUUAAUGGCUUAAAUACCAAUUUCACUUUUGGUAAGUAUGUCAUUAGCUAUAGUAACCCUCAAGAGUAAGAUAUACUGUAAUUUGGUCUCAAACAAAACAUUCAAAUAAAUAUUAAAAAGGAUAAGUAGAGGUAGCAAAGAAAGUGUGUGUGUUGGCAGAGGUCUGGUCUCAAUUAAUAGGUAGUCAAAUCAUUACUAGUAAUGGUAUCAUAUUCAAAUGAGUUUGUAUUGAUAGACUUUCUUCCUGCAAAAAAUAUUUCAGCACUACAAAAAUGUUUCUGACAGAUGCUUUUUUAGUAAAACAGAUGCUUUUAGUAAACAUUAGUAAACAUUUUCAGGCAUUUCAACCUAAUGAUUUUAUCUUCUUUUAUUUGGAAAUAUUUAUUUGCUUUUUUUCUGAUCCUGCUUAAGAGUAACAAAAGCAAGAAACUGAACCAACAUGGUGCAAACCAGAGGGAGGGUAGAGCUGGAUUUGUGCUGUUCUAGGACUGCAAAUCUAUGGGCCCCUUGGCACUUCACUGCUUUGCAGUAGGUGGGUGUUCAGCCUCUCCUUUAGAGCAGUGGGACUGGGAAUGGCUGAUUCUUAUUUCAUUUCAUAGGGUACUUACAGCAGAUUUUUUCCUACUUAGCAUUUAAGGUCUGAACUAUUUAUAUAGUUUCCUAAUUUUUGUGCAUAUUACUACACUAAAGGCAAUAUGCAGUAGCAUAAACAUCUACUUACACUUGAAUUUUGUGACUGUGCAACAUCUAGUACAGUCUCAGGUUGACUGACAUGCAGUUCUACAACAACAUCAAUUACAAUAAAAGGCCCUAUUGAGGAGCUUGCCAAUGCCUUCCCCUGAUGGCACAGUAGCAAAGGGCAGAGUGCAACUUAUAGAGAAAUGGAAGCUGAUUUUCCCUUACUGUUUGUGAAAAUGGCAACAAUCUAGUAACUAUUGUAUUGUCUCAUCAUAGCAACGUUUGGUACUUGCUAAACAUUUCUAUCGUGUAUUCAUAAAUAAACCUUUAAAAUUAAUAAAAUAAAUAAAUUCUUUAGAAUCAAACCCAAAGUUUUAGGGGAUUAAAAGCGGAGUAGUUUGAGAGACAAAAAGGGUUAGCCAUAAGGCAGGGCACUUUUUGUCUUGCAUCAAAUGAUAGUCCUAGCACAGGAGUGAUUAAUGCAAUGCUUCAUUUGCUGGGCUAAUGAUAUCCUGCCUGGUCUAGAGACAGCCUGAAAUGGUUUUGUCUGUAUUCUACUUCACACUAAGGUCAGCCAGAAUAUAAUUAUAUCAAUGAUAUUUCCCUGUAGACUUCUGGCCUUUUAUAGGAUUGAUGCUAAGGUUACUCAAUAGUUUACCAAGCUUUAAAUAGUCUUGUGUCUUCACUGUCCAAGUUCAUUAUGUAUUACAGCCCUAAAGACAGUUUGUGCUCUGUGACUACUGCAAAUGCCAAGGUUCCAGUGACAACUGAGUGGAGAAAGAACAUCCUGUUAUUAUGGUUUUGAAUUGUGAAAUUGUCUUGGAGAGUUUUUAUAUUUGUUUCUGUAUGCUAAGGCCAUCUCACUUUCUUUUUUUUAAGCUUUUUAAUUGCCUGUUUUGCUUUUAAUGUAUUUGCCGCGUUUCUAGGAUUAAUGACAACGCCUUGGGAUGUGUCUCCAUGAAAUAUGUCAAAUAGCAUUACUGCUGUACUAACUUUAAUGCAAAUGAUUCUCUCUCAGGGGACCUUGUAGAAGGAUAUUGCUUUAGAUACUGGAAUUUGUAUUCUGCAGAAACUACGCCAAACAAACAAGGGCUGUGAGAGUUCUGGUUUGAAAGAACUGGGUUAGAACAAAAGUGCUCAAGUUAUUAGGAUUCAAAACUCAGAGAGCUCAGGGAGUGUUAUCUUUGCAAUACAUGAGGCUUGUCCAGAGCAUAGAUAUUUCAGGCUGUAUAUGCACAAAGGUCACCACUGGGCAAACAAAUAAUUACUGUUCUUUAGACUUAUGUUCUGCUCUUGGUAAAUAAACUCAGAAGCUUGAA